rnacentral:rRNA from 1 species
AAAUUGAAGAGUUUGAUCAUGGCUCAGAUUGAACGCUGGCGGCAGGCCUAACACAUGCAAGUCGAACGGUAACAGGAAGCAGCUUGCUGAUUUGCUGACGAGUGGCGGACGGGUGAGUAAUGUCUGGGAAACUGCCUGAUGGAGGGGGAUAACUACUGGAAACGGUAGCUAAUACCGCAUAACGUCGCAAGACCAAAGAGGGGGACCUUCGGGCCUCUUGCCAUCGGAUGUGCCCAGAUGGGAUUAGCUAGUAGGUGGGGUAA